GAUACUGAGAUCAUGACCUGAGCGGAAAUCAAGAGUCGGCCGCUUAACCAGCUGAGUCACCCAGGAGCCCCGUCAUGGCUGUUCUCACUUAUUUCCACAUUGUGUAAUCUCAGGCAAGCUCUGUAGCCACUUUUUGGGGCCUCAGUAUCUGCCUCUGCAAAACAGGACUGAUCAUAGUGUUAGUGCUCUCUGGGUAUCUACAGUGGUGCUGUCGUGAGGGAGGGCAGCUUCCCUGAGAGGACUCCUGGGGCACGUUUUGAGAACUAGGCCUCCCUGUUCCCUGAGACACAGCGGUAUUGCGAUGAGGCCAGUUAAUGCCGCUCCAGUGGCCUGCAAGUGUCCAAGUGAAAGGAAGAGUUGCAUGUCUCUCCCUCUAAAUCAAGAGCUAGAAGUGACUAAGCUUAGGGAGGAAGGCAUGUCGAAGGCCAACACAGGCCCAAGGCUAGGUCUGUCGUGCCAAAGAGCCCAGCUAUAAAUGCGAAGGAGAAGUUUGUGAAGGAUAUUGAAAGAGCUCAUCCAGAGCAAGGCCCUGACUCCCUUCAAUUCUGUGAAGGCCGAGAGAGGCGUGGAGGCUGCAGACCAGUUUGAAGCUAGCCGAGGUGGUUCAGGAGGUGGAAGGAAAGAAGCCAUCUCCAUGAGAGUGCAAGGUGAAGCAGCCAAAGCUGAUAUAGAAGCUGCCGCAAGUUACCCAGAGCUAGCUAAGGUAAUCCGUGAAGGUGGCUACACUAAACACAGAUUUCCAGUGCAGACAAAACAGCCUCCCACUGGCAGAGGAUGCCAUGUAGGACUCUCAUCAGUAGAGAGAAGUCAAUGCCUGGCUUCAAAGCCUCAGAGGACAGGCUGACUCCUGUUAGGGGCUAAGGCAGCUGUUGGCUUCAAGCUGGAGCCCGUGCUCAGUGACCAUUCUGAGAAUCCUAGGGCCCUUGAGAAUGACGCUAAAUCUCCUCUGCCUGGGCUCCAUAAAUGCAACAGCAAAGCCUGGAUGACAGCACAUUGCUUUACAACAUGGUUACUGAAUAUUUUGAGCCACUCUUGAGACCUACUGCUCAGAAAAAAAAAAAAAAAUCCUUU